UACGAAGGGGGCUAGCGUUGCUCGGAAUCACUGGGCUUAAAGCGCGUGUAGGCGGGACGGCACGUCUGUCGCUGAAAUCCCCCGGCUUAACCGGGGAACUGGCGGAGAUACGACCGUCCUGGAGGGGCGUAGGGGGACCUGGAACUUCCGGUGGAGCGGUGAAAUGCGUUAAGAUCGGAAGGAACGCCCGUGGCGAAAGCGAGGUCCUGGACGCCUACUGACGCUGAGACGCGAAAGCCAGGGGAGCGAACGGG
rnacentral:rRNA from 1 species